AUGAUACCAAGCAAUCCUGCAGAUACAGGGACGAGCGCCCUGUGGCAUAACCCUAGGAUCAUGGCGUUGAAUAUGGCGAGGCUCGGCCGUGGCCCCAUCGCGGUCAUUACCACGAACACCUUCCACGCAGCCUGGACGUUGCCCUCGCGGAACAGGAGGCGCAGCAGCGUCGCGAGCGGGCAGAGGCUGGGCGUUUUCCCGCAGCUGCGGACGCGCGCGAGAACGGCAAGCGCCUCGGACGGCAUGAUGGCAGCGAGGAAGGCGCCGGGAUGGUUUCCCCGCUGCGGCGAGGUGGCGCAUCGGGCGCCGGCGGCGGGGGAGGGUGGGAGAGGGAAGCUGAGGUAUACUUGUUGA
rnacentral:rRNA from 1 species